CGCCUUUUGAUAAAUAAAAAUAAAAGGUCCUGCCUGCCCAGUGAUAAUUAUUCAACGGCCGCGGUAUUAUGACCGUGCAAAGGUAGCAUAAUCACUUGUCUUUUAAAUCAAGACCAGUAUGAAUGGCAAGACGAAAGCCUAACUGUCUCCUUAAGUUAGUCAAUGAAAUUGAUUUUCUCGUGCAGAAGCGGGGAUAUAAAUAUAAGACGAGAAGACCCUGUGGAGUUUUAAAAUAAUAUUAUAUAAAUACUUACAAUAAUAUAAUUUUUUGGUUGGGGCGACCAUGAGGUAAAAGAAAACCCUCAAGAUAAUAACUAGAAGGACACUUCAAAGCAAAGUAAUACUUAUAUAUGACCCAAUUAUGAUCAAUGAACCAAAUUACCCCAGGGAUAACAGCGCAAUCCGUUUCCAAAGUCCAUAUUGACAAACGGGUUUACGACCUCGAUGUUGGAUCAGGACAUCCAAAUAGUGCAACAGCUAUUAAGGGUUCGUUUGUUCAACGAUUAAAGUCCU
rnacentral:rRNA from 1 species